CCCCGGACCUCCUGGACCACCGGGUAGACCCAACUCAUCCAGAUCCCCGGAUGGUGUGGACGGCUCAGGCUUUGAGUACUUUGACGGAGACACAGAGAUUAUGACAGGUCCACCUGGUCCUCCAGGGCUUCCUGGGCCCCCAGGUUCAUCUGAGGGCCUCUCUGCGUCCCCUGGGGCUCCCGGGGAAAACGGGAAGGAUGGAGAGAUGGGUAAACCUGGAC